rnacentral:lncRNA from 1 species
GCACUUCGAUCAUGCAUUUCCAUGCACUGCUGUGACUUCACCUCUUUCUAUUUGGAUCUCGGAGCAAGAAAAUAUGCAUUUUUGUUCCCUUGAACUGACAACAGACGUGCCAAUAGUCUAUCAGUUAACAUGAAGAUCUUGAAUAAGAACGCCUACAUAAGGGACGAACCACUGGUUUUUAAAAUAGAUAAAGUGAAUGUUAACACUCGAGUAGAGGAGCCAAACGUUUCACU